AGAGUUUGAUCCUGGCUCAGAACGAACGCUGGCGGCGUGCUUAACACAUGCAAGUCGCGUGCGCAGUUUCCGUAGCAAUACGGGGAUCGGCGCACGGCGCACGGGUGCGUAACACGUGGGCAAUCUGCCCUCCGAUGGGGAAUACCCCCGCGAAAGCGGGACUAAUUCCGCAUAACAUUCCUUGGAUUAACUUUCGAGGAUUCAAAGCAGCAAUGCGUCGGAGGAGGAGCCCGCGCCCGAUUAGCUAGUUGGUGAGGUAACGGCUCACCAAGGCAAUGAUCGGUAGCUGGUCUGAGAGGAUGGCCAGCCACACUGGAACUGAGACACGGUCCAGACUCCUACGGGAGGCAGCAGUGGGGAAUCUUGCACAAUGGGCGAAAGCCUGAUGCAGCGACGCCGCGUGGGGGAUGAAGCUUCUCGGAGUGUAAACCCCUUUCGACUGGGACGAAUGCCUCGCAAGAGGAGUGACGGUACCAGUAUAAGAAGCCCCGGCUAACUACGUGCCAGCAGCCGCGGUAAGACGUAGGGGGCCAGCGUUAUUCGGAAUUACUGGGUGUAAAGGGUUCGUAGGCGGUGUGGCAAGUCGGGAGUGAAAUCUCUGGGCUCAACCCAGAGACUGCUUCCGAAACUGCUGUGCUUGAGUGCGAGAGAGGCUCGUGGAAUUGCAGGUGUAGCGGUGAAAUGCGUAGAUAUCUGCAGGAACACCCGUGGCGAAAGCGGCGAGCUGGAUCACUACUGACGCUGAGGAACGAAAGCUAGGGGAGCAAACAGGAUUAGAUACCCUGGUAGUCCUAGCCCUAAACGAUCAGGACUUGGGGUGCCGCCCGUUCGGGCGUCGUCCCGGAGCUAACGCGUUAAGUCCUGCACCUGGGGAGUACGGUCGCAAGACUGAAACUCAAAGGAAUUGACGG
rnacentral:rRNA from 1 species